rnacentral:rRNA from 1 species
CCUACGGGAGGCAGCAGUGGGGAAUAUUGCACAAUGGGGGAAACCCUGAUGCAGCGACGCCGCGUGAGUGAAGAAGUAAUUCGUUAUGUAAAGCUCUAUCAGCAGGGAAGAAAAUGACGGUACCUGAGUAAGAAGCACCGGCUAACUACGUGCCAGCAGCCGCGGUAAUACGUAGGGGGCAAGCGUUAUCCGGAUUUACUGGGUGGAAAGGGAGCGUAGACGGCAGUGCAAGUCUGGAGUGAAAGGCGGGGGCUCAACCCCCGGACUGCUCUGGAAACUGUACGGCUGGAGUGCAGGAGAGGUAAGUGGAAUUCCUGGUGUAGCGGUGAAAUGCGUAGAUAUUAGGAGGAACACCAGUGGCGAAGGCGGCUUACUGGACUGUAACUGACGUUGAGGCUCGAAAGCGUGGGGAGCAAACAGGAUUAGAUACCCUAGUAGUC